AUAAGCUUUGAUCCACAGAUGUCCGAAUGAGGGAACUCACCUGCUUUGCAGGUAUCCCAUCCUGAAUAUAUAGGGAUGGGAGGCGAACGAAGCGAACUGAAACAUCUAAGUAGCUUCAGGAAAAGAAAUCAACCGAGAUUCCGAAAGUAGCGGCGAGCGAAAUCGGAUCAGCCCAGCACUCGAUAGCAGCCAACUUACGGGAACGGUCUGGAAAGUCCGGCCAUAGAGGGUGAUAGCCCCUUACUGGAAAAGGCAGCUGCGGUACUAAGUGUGCGAUAAGUAGAGCGGGACACGUGACAUCCUGCUCGAAGAUGGGGGGACCAUCCUCCAAGGCUAAAUACUCGUGAUCGACCGAUAGCGUACCAGUACUGUGAAGGAAAGGUUAAAAGAACCCCGGGAGGGGAGUGAAAUAGAUCCUGAAACCGCAUACAUACAAACAGUAGGAGCCUCGUUAAGGGGUGACUGCGUACCUUUUGCAUAAUGGGUCAGCGACUUACGUUUAAUGGCGAGCUUAACCGUAUAGGGGAGGCGCAGCGAAAGCGAGUUCGAACAGAGCGUUCAGUCGUUAGGCGUAGACCCGAAACCAGAUGAUCUAUCCAUGGCCAGGUUGAAGGUGUGGUAACACACACUGGAGGACCGAACCGACUAGUGUUGCAAAAUUAGCGGAUGAGCUGUGGAUAGGGGUGAAAGGCUAAACAAAUCUGGAGAUAGCUGGUUCUCCCCGAAAACUAUUGAGGUAGUGCCUCGUGUAUGACUCCAGGGGGUAGAGCACUGUUAUGGCUAGGGGGACAUGGCGUCUUACCAAACCAUGGCAAACUCCGAAUACUUGGAAGUUUGAGCACGGGAGACAGAGCACCGGGUGCUAACGUCCGGACUCAAGAGGGAAACAACCCAGACCGCCGGCUAAGGUCCCUAAUAUUGACUAAGUGGAAAACGAAGUGGAAAGGCUAAGACAGUCAGGAAGUUGGCUUAGAAGCAGCCAUCCUUCAAAGAAAGCGUAAUAGCUCACUGAUCGAGUCUUUCUGCGCGGAAGAUGUAACGGGGCUAAGUCAAUAACCGAAGCCGCGGAUUCACACUUGUGUGUGAGUGGUAGGGGAGCGUUCUGUAAGCCUGCGAAGGUGACUCGUAAGGGUUGCUGGAGGUAUCAGAAGUGCGAAUGCUGACAUGAGUAACGUUAAAGCGGGUGAAAAGCCCGCUCGCCGUAAGCCCAAGGUUUCCUGCUCUACGUUCAUCGGAGCAGGGUGAGUCGGCCCCUAAGGUGAGGCUGAGAAGCGUAACUGAUGGGAACAAGGUUAAUAUUCCUUGACCACCGCUGAAUGCGAAGGGGGGACGGAGUAUUGAAGAUCAUCCGGGUGUUGGAUAUCCCGGUUUGCGAGCGUAGGAGGCUGACAGGCAAAUCCGUCAGCGAAUCUCCGAGGCGAAGCAUCGAGCUCUCUUUUGAGCGAAGUGAUUGGAUGUGCUUCCAGGAAAAGCCUCUAAGCUCCAGUUCAGCGGGACCGUACCGCAAACCGACACUGGUGGGCGAGCUGAAUAUGCUCAGGCGCUUGAGAGAACUCAGGAGAAGGAACUCGGCAAAUUGACACCGUAACUUCGGGAUAAGGUGUGCCUUUGUAGCGUGGAGGGAGAAACACCCCGAGCGCGAAGAGGUCUCAGAUAAUCGGUGGCUGCGACUGUUUAUUAAAAACACAGCACUCUGCAAAGACGAAAGUCGACGUAUAGGGUGUGAUGCCUGCCCGGUGCUGGAAGAUUAAUUGAUGGGGUGCAAGCUCCUGAUCGAAGUCCCAGUAAACGGCGGCCGUAACUAUAACGGUCCUAAGGUAGCGAAAUUCCUUGUCGGG
rnacentral:rRNA from 1 species